rnacentral:rRNA from 1 species
GUGAACUCCGCUUGCGGGGGGAUCAGUGGCGAACGGGUGAGUAACACGUGGGCAACCUGCCCUCAGCUCUGGGAUAACUCCAAGAAAUUGGGGCUAAUACUGGAUACGACCGCUGACCGCAUGGUCUGGUGGUGGAAAGAUUUAUCGGCUGGGGAUGGGCCCGCGGCCUAUCAGCUUGUUGGUGGGGUAGUGGCCUACCAAGGCGACGACGGGUAGCCGGCCUGAGAGGGUGACCGGCCACACUGGGACUGAGACACGGCCCAGACUCCUACGGGAGGCAGCAGUGGGGAAUAUUGCGCAAUGGGCGAAAGCCUGACGCAGCGACGCCGCGUGGGGGAUGACGGCCUUCGGGUUGUAAACCUCUUUCAGCAGGGACGAAGCGAAAGUGACGGUACCUGCAGAAGAAGCACCGGCCAACUACGUGCCAGCAGCCGCGGUAAUACGUAGGGUGCAAGCGUUGUCCGGAAUUAUUGGGCGUAAAGAGCUCGUAGGCGGUUUGUUGCGUCGGCUGUGAAAACCUGAGGCUCAACCUCAGGCCUGCAGUCGAUACGAGCAGACUAGAGUGUUGCAGGGGAGACUGGAAUUCCUGGUGUAGCGGUGAAAUGCGCAGAUAUCAGGAGGAACACCGGUGGCGAAGGCGGGUCUCUGGGCAACAACUGACGCUGAGGAGCGAAAGCGUGGGGAGCGAACAGGAUUAGAUACCCUGGUAGUCCACGCCGUAAACGUUGGGCGCUAGGUGUGGGGCUCAUUCCACGAGUUCCGUGCCGCAGCUAACGCAUUAAGCGCCCCGCCUGGGGAGUACGGCCGCAAGGCUAAAACUCAAAGGAAUUGACGGGGGCCCGCACAAGCGGCGGAGCAUGUUGCUUAAUUCGAUGCAACGCGAAGAACCUUACCUAGGCUUGACAUGCACGGAAAUCCUCCAGAGAUGGUGGGUCCGCAAGGGUCGUGCACAGGUGGUGCAUGGUUGUCGUCAGCUCGUGUCGUGAGAUGUUGGGUUAAGUCCCGCAACGAGCGCAACCCUCGUUCUAUGUUGCCAGCACGUGAUGGUGGGGACUCAUAGGAGACUGCCGGGGUCAACUCGGAGGAAGGUGGGGAUGACGUCAAAUCAUCAUGCCCCUUAUGUCUAGGGCUGCAAACAUGCUACAAUGGCCGGUACAAAGGGCUGCGAUACCGCGAGGUGGAGCGAAUCCCAAAAAGCCGGU